AUUUUGCCAGACAUAAUCACUCCAUCAUUGAAGAUCUCCAACAAACUAUCAACUUGCUGCAGCAACAAAUCGCAGACCCUAUCAACCCCUCUCUACUUCGCAAGGAGAACACACUGUCCAGCCCAUCGGUCAUGUUCACUCGCUUCGACAUGGAACGUAACAGGAAGGCCAUGAGGAAAGGACUUGCUACUCACACCGUUGACAUUCAGAAAUACCAGAACAUUGUGAAACAGAUGACAGAAUAUGUCUCCCUACCAGAGCGAUAUUUCCGCCAGAUCGUUUACACUUACUUGUGGCACUGUAACCUAAAGACAGUCUAUGCUUACCUGCUGCAAUCUCUGACCCCUAAACCAACAGACCAAACAGGAUCGCUGAAUGAAAGCCACUACGCAGCAUUUUUGGCCAGCUGGCAGCUUUACACAGAAACAAGCUGUCCCAAUGGUCCACACACACAAGGCAUCGCUCAGUAAAUAUCGACGAAACAUUGCCAUGACCCUCACUUCGAAUCUUGAGAGUCUGGAAACAGAUACAGGAUUCUUACUCAUCAAACCCGUUUAUUGGCACAACAACAAAGCAAACUGCAAACCAAAAGAAGGGGUCCCAAACAGAACUGCAGAGGAUAGGGGACAGCAUCCAAUGAAUGAGGCCAGGGAAGAGAGUGGCUUUAAUGAAGAUUCAAUGCAUAAGUUAACGAGGAACUCAUCUUUGACCAACCCUGACCUACCCACCGUAGAAGAUAUACCUACUCUCAACUCACACUUCUAUGAGAUGGCCGGUCAAGAAGGUCACUCGAUGGCCACCACCUCAGACAUGGAACUCAACACCAACUCUGUAGCUAUGUGGACA